GCCGCGUGUGUGAAGAAGGCCUUCGGGUUGUAAAGCACUUUCAGUUGUGAGGAAAAGUUAGUAGUUAAUACCUGCUAGCCGUGACGUUAACAACAGAAGAAGCACCGGCUAACUCCGUGCCAGCAGCCGCGGUAAUACGGAGGGUGCGAGCGUUAAUCGGAAUUACUGGGCGUAAAGCGCACGCAGGCGGUUUGUUAAGCUAGAUGUGAAAGCCCCGGGCUCAACCUGGGAUGGUCAUUUAGAACUGGCAGACUAGAGUCUUGGAGAGGGGAGUGGAAUUCCAGGUGUAGCGGUGAAAUGCGUAGAUAUCUGGAGGAACAUCAGUGGCGAAGGCGACUCCCUGGCCAAAGACUGACGCUCAUGUGCGAAAGUGUGGGUAGCGAACAGGAUUAGAUACCCUGGUAGUCCACACCGUAAACGCUGUCUACUAGCUGUGUGUGCCUUUAAGGCGUGCGUAGCGAAGCUAACGCGCUAAGUAGACCGCCUGGGGAGUACGGCCGCAAGGUUAAAACUCAAAUGAAUUGACGGGGGCCCGCACAAGCGGUGGAGCAUGUGGUUUAAUUCGAUGCAACGCGAAGAACCUUACCUACACUUGACAUGCUGAGAAGUUACUAGAGAUAGUUUCGUGCCUUCGGGAACUCAGACACAGGUGCUGCAUGGCUGUCGUCAGCUCGUGUCGUGAGAUGUUGGGUUAAGUCCCGCAACGAGCGCAACCCUUGU
rnacentral:rRNA from 1 species